rnacentral:rRNA from 1 species
UACGGAGGGGGCUAGCGUUGUUCGGAAUUACUGGGCGUAAAGGGCGCGUAGGCGGCGAUUCAAGUCAGGCGCGAAAGGCCUGGGCUCAACCCGGGAACUGCGUUUGAUACUGGAUUGCUCGAGUCCGGGAGAGGAUGGCGGAAUUCCCAGUGUAGAGGUGAAAUUCGUAGAUAUUGGGAAGAACACCGGUGGCGAAGGCGGCCAUCUGGACCGGAACUGACGCUGAGGCGCGAAAGCGUGGGGAGCAAACAGG